rnacentral:rRNA from 1 species
UACGAAGGGGCUAGCGUUGCUCGGAAUUACUGGGCGUAAAGCGCACGUAGGCGGCUUCUUAAGUCGGUGGUGAAAUCCUGGAGCUCAACUCCAGAACUGCCUCGAUACUGGGAGCUCGAGUCCGGGAGAGGUGAGUGGAACUGCGAGUGUAGAGGUGAAAUUCGUAGAUAUUCGCAAGAACACCAGUGGCGAAGGCGGCUCACUGGCCCGGUACUGACGCUGAGGUGCGAAAGCGUGGGGAGCAAACA